rnacentral:misc_RNA from 1 species
AUCCAUAGUACCGAUUUCUGAACCAAACUACGAGCAGGAUCUCAUUACUCGGAGAAUCUUAUCCCACGGGUAAGUUCUUCCGGAUUUUCAACAUACCUCUAAAUAUGGCCUCCUAAUCACGAGGGAAGUUUACCAUUCCGAUAUCGGGAAUUUUCUCGUUUAGCAACAAUCCCUGUCCACCAUAUCGCCAGAUUGUUCUAGGUCAGGGGAAAGCGGCACACAGAACUUUCUUCAGCGGGCCUAUACAACAAGACGUCAACAACUCGACCAAAAGAUAUUUGUCAGCGUCUUAUUAAUCAAAAGUAGAUAUUUAAUUAAAUAAUAUCUAUACAACUUUAGUAAAAGAUUAUUUAAUAAGAGAAAAAAGAUAGCAAAUGCACUCAAUAAUUGAUCGUAUAUAAAUCUAUACGUAAAUAAUAAUCGCUAUGACAUAGUCUAGUUUAUAACGUAACAGUGACGAAUAAACGUAUAUACAUGUAUUUAAUAAAUGGAACUUCUUGAUUGUAAUAAAAA